GGAGAGGUCGCAUAGUGGCCUAGUGCGGCGGUUUGCUAAACCGCUGACGGUGAAAGCCGUCCGGGGGUUCGAAUCCCCCUCUCUCCGCCA
rnacentral:tRNA from 1 species